CUGACUGCUAUCGGAUUGAUACUAAGCCAUGCGAGUCAUUGUAGUAAUACAAGGCAGUCGGCUCAGUAACGCGUAGUCAACCUACCCUAUGGACGGGAAUAACCUCGGGAAACUGAGUAUAAUGCCCGAUAGAACACUAUACCUGGAAUGGUUUGUGUUCCAAAUGAUUUAUCGCCGUAGGGUGGGACUGCGGCCUAUCAGUUUGUUGGUGAGGUAAUGGCCCACCAAGACUAUUACAGGUACGGGCUCUGAGAGGAGUAGCCCGGAGAUGGGUACUGAGACACGGACCCAGGCCCUAUGGGGCGCAGCAGGCGAGAAAACUUUGCAAUGUGCGAAAGCACGACAAGGUUAAUCCGAGUGGUUUGUGCUAAACGAACCUUUUGACAGUCCUAGAAACACUGUUGAAUAAGGGGUGGGCAAGUUCUGGUGUCAGCCGCCGCGGUAAAACCAGCACCUCAAGUGGUCAGGAUGAUUAUUGGGCCUAAAGCAUCCGUAGCCGGCUCUGUAAGUUUUCGGUUAAAUCUGUACGCUCAACGUACAGGCUGCCGGGAAUACUGCAGAGCUAGGGAGUGGGAGAGGUAGACGGUACUCGUAGGAAGGGGUAAAAUCCUUUGAUCUAUUGAUGACCACCUGUGGCGAAGGCGGUCUACCAGAACACGUCCGACGGUGAGGGAUGAAAGCUGGGGGAGCAAACCGGAUUAGAUACCCGGGUAGUCCCAGCUGUAAACUAUGCAAACUCAGUGAUGCA
rnacentral:rRNA from 1 species